rnacentral:rRNA from 1 species
CGUGUAGGCGGCUUCUUAAGUCUGAUGUGAAAGCCCGGGGCUUACCCCCGGAAGGGCAUUGGAAACUGGGAAGCUAGAGUACCGGAGAGGAAGGUGGAAUUCCUGGUGUAGCGGUGAAAUGCGUAGAUAUCAGGAGGAACACCGGUGGCGAAGGCGGCCUUCUGGACGGAUACUGACGCUGAGACGCGAAAGCGUGGGGAGCAAACAGGAUUAGAUACCCUGGUAGUCCACGCCGUAAACGAUGGGCACUAGGUGUUCGGGGUAUUGACCCCCUGAGUGCCGCAGCUAACGCAUUAAGUGCCCCGCCUGGGGACUACGGCCGCAAGGUUAAA